GCCUGAGUGGCUCAGUCAGUUGGGCAUCUGGCUUAGGCUCAGAUCAUGAUCUCGCAGUUUGUGGGUUCAAGCCCCGCAUUGGGCU
rnacentral:tRNA from 1 species